GACUGAGUUGAGCUUAUGGAUUCCCGGAGAUAUUUGACUCCAGAAUGAACUCUCCUCUUCCUUUGAGUGUAAAGUAAAGGGUUUAAUCUUUGCAACCCAGAAGCAGGAGUUUUAAGGAAGAACCCAGUGUGCUGUGAUGUCUGCCAGACUGAGCAGAACGUUGGGACAUUAAGGUCUGAAGAGCAGUCAGUGUUCCCUGCCCUGUGGAAAGUCCAAAGUCCUCCCCCCUCCAU